CGUAGGUGGCAAGCGUUGUCCGGAUUUAUUGGGUUUAAAGGGUGCGUAGGUGGCCCUGUAAGUCAGUGGUGAAAUAUCUCGGCUUAACUGAGAGGGUGCCAUUGAUACUGCAGGGCUUGAGUACAGAUGAGGUAGGCGGAAUUGACGGUGUAGCGGUGAAAUGCAUAGAUAUCGUCAAGAACACCGAUAGCGAAGGCAGCUUACCAAGCUGUAACUGACACUGAGGCACGAAAGUGUGGGGAUCAAACAGGAUUAGAUACCCUGGUAGUCCACACUGUAAACGUUGAUGACUCGAUGUUGGCGAUACACAGCCAGCGUCCAAGAGCAAUCGUUAAGUCAUCCACCUGGGGAGUACGCCGGCAACGGUG
rnacentral:rRNA from 1 species